rnacentral:rRNA from 1 species
AUACGUAGGAUCCGAGCGUUGUCCGAAUUUACUGGGCGUAAAGGGCGCGUAGGCGGCCCGCUAAGUCUCAUGUGAAAUCUCCCGGCUCAACUGGGAGGGGUCAUGGGAUACUGGCGGGCUUGAGGGCAGCAGAGGGAAGCGGAAUUCCCGGAGUAGUGGUGAAAUGCGUAGAUACCGGGAGGAACACCAGUGGCGAAAGCGGCUUCCUGGACUGUACCUGACGCUGAGGCGCGAAAGCGUGGGGAGCAAACCGGAUUAGAAACCCGAGUAGUCC